rnacentral:rRNA from 1 species
GAUGAACGCUGGCGGCGUGCUUAACACAUGCAAGUCGAACGAUUAAGACCCCUUCGGGGGUGUAUAGAGUGGCGAACGGAAGAGUAACACGUGGGCAACCUGCCCCUUCCUCUGGGAUAACACGGAGAAAUCCGUGCUAAUACCGGAUACUCCAUAUCUGCGGCAUCGCGGAUAUGGGAAAGCUCCGACGGGAAGGGAUGGGCCCGCGGUCCAUUAGCUAGUCGGUGGGGUAACGGCCUACCGAGGCGACGAUGGAUAGCCGGGUUGAGAGACCGACCGGCCACAUGGGGACUGAGACACGGCCCAGACUCCUACGGGAGGCAGCAGUGGGGAAUUUUGCGCAAUGGGGGAAACCCUGACGCAGCAACGCCGCGUGCGGGAUGAAGGCCUUCGGGUUGUAAGCCGCUUUCAGCAGGGAAGAAUACAGACGGUACCUGCGGAAGAAGCUCCGGCUAACUACGUGCCAGCAGCCGCCGUAA